rnacentral:lncRNA from 13 species
AUGUUUUAUAAUUGCUAUUUUCUGUAUUGCCAAGUUUUUAAAUCAUUCACUAUCCCUCAAGGGGGGAAAAGGAAGGACAUUCACAUGGGUUCCUUGCUGAGAAGUGAAAGUACAAUUGCAAAACCCUUGGGCUACACUUGUUCUUUAAUAAUGUUUUUUAGUUACUCAGAACAGAACUUUCUCUUUCACAUUCUAUUUUAUAUUCAGCACAGCACAUUUCUGGGUGAAAAAAGGAACGUGAAUGGCAAAGGAAGAACAUAUUCUAGUAAUGAAUGUGCAGGCUGACAGAAUGUUACCACAUCCUUUGAAGAAGGUAACGAGAAGAACUAAGCACAGAGAUGAAAGGGGAACUCUUAACCGAGAGCUUCCAGAAAAUAAUCUGUGGUUCUGAUCUGAAGGCAGAUCCUGCAAAAUCUAGAGCUUUUCUUUCCUAUUUGCUUUUAUCUUUGAUUAAGAGUUAGAUGUAAGCUAUAUUUAUGGGCAUACACACUACCACAUCAGUGACGGUGGGUUGUGUGGCUGAUGGGUUCACAUCAUUGGGGUCAGGGAACUGCGAGAGCAGGUGUGCUUGUGGAAAAAUCAUUUCAUGCGUACGUUUGCCAGCAACCCAUGUUUAGAUCCGAAAAAAAAAGAAAGUAUUAGAAUCAUCACAUUUGCCUCACUCUUCCUCUUUGAGUUCCAGGCCUAGGUUCCAAAAUCAGCCAUGUUUAAGAGAGUCAGGACUCCUGGGCCAACCAUCACCAAAGCCUCCUCCUCAUGAUUUCAACACUCUUAACUCGCUACACAGAGCAUUGCUACCCACUCCUAGUAGCCCUUUACGGGAAGCUGGGCAUGUUCCUAAGCUAAGCUUCACUCAGCUGCUCAACCCAAAAGGCAAAAUCCAAUGAGAAGUUAUGUGCAACAGAGUACAUUCCUAGGGGACUAGUGUAUAAAUUAGGAUACAAAUGGCACAACUAUGUGAUGUGGUUUUGAAUGGCAUUCAGGUUUAAUCCGAUUAUGGUAACUCUGUUUAUCUUCUUUUUAUUCCCUCAACAUUCAAAGCUCAGUGACACUAUUUUCAGCCCUUUCUUUCCUGUCUCAUCAAGUAAUAAUCAAAACUGCAUCUUCAAUCUUUUUUAUUUUGCAUCGCACUAGACUGGUUCAGGGCAUUAUCACUGGAUGACUGGAGGAAUGUAUUGGCCUCUCAAUGGUUCAAGGCCUUCGGAGAUUUUCAUUAACUUUGGAAUAUUGGAAAAUUUAUUUAUUCGAUGUUUUAUUAGGGAAGUUGAACCUGGAUUACUGUCAGGGAAGGAGGAGGACAGAACGGGGAUUGAGGUAUCUAGGGAGACAAGCAGCAUUGUGGAAGUUCCAAAACAUUGGGUGGAGGAGCUCAGGAUGAUGGGUGCCUAAGAUGGGUCCUACCAUAGUGAUGUGGGGCUACUGCAAGGGAUUAAAAAAGUAAAUACUAUUACUUUAAAAUGUGACUACUUCCUCUGCCUAGUUCCUGUUUCUGCCUGAAAUUUCUGGUUAGCAUUAGCUGGAAAAUCCAACAGAAAGCUGAACUGUGAGUUGAGCUCGUUAUUCCUCAGAACAACAGUGUCCUGGAGAAUCUUAGGUCAUUCGUGUGUCCUCUAUGUGGCAAUGUCAGCUGUGACAUGGGUAACUGCUGCCGACAAGGAUUUGAGAACAGUCAACAGCUUAAUGAAGCCCUCAGAAGCCAUUAGAGAGAUUCACCCUUUUGUUCCUUUACUAUGGAAAUGUAUUUAAGUUAAAUGUUAGUUUUUAGGAGAUAAAGUUGUUUAUCUAAAGCCAACCCAUCAGAAUUACAGGGAGCUGUCAGAAUCCAGUAGACCCAUAUUUUUUGGGGGUUUCUCCAUUGGCAUAGAAUAAAAUUAGAUAGAGUCAAACUAAAACA